rnacentral:rRNA from 1 species
GACAGAGGGGGCAAGCGUUGCUCGGAAUUACUGGGCGUAAAGGGCGCGUAGGCGGGAUGGCAAGUCGGUCGUGAAAUCCCUCGGCUCAACCGAGGAACGUCGAUCGAUACUGCUGUUCUUGAGGAUUGCAGAGGAGACUGGAAUUCCCGGUGUAGCGGUGAAAUGUGUAGAGAUCGGGAGGAACACCGGUGGCGAAGGCGGGUCUCUGGGCAAUUCCUGACGCUGAGGCGCGAAAAGCGUGGGGAGCAAACAGG